CCUACGGGUGGCAGCAGUGGGGGAUAUUGCACAAUGGGGGAAACCCUGAUGCAGCGACGCCGCGUGGGCGAAGAAGUAUUUCGGUAUGUAAAGCCCUAUCAGCAGGGGAGAAGAAAUGACCGUACCUGCGUAAGAAGCACCGGCUAAAUACGUGCCAGCAGCCGCGGUCAUACGGAGGGUGCAAGCGUUAUCCGGAUUUACUGGGUGUAACGGGAGCGCAGGGGGCACGGCAAGCCUGAUGUGAAAGCCCGCGGCCCAACCGCGGGACUGCAUUUGGAACUACCGGGCUGGAGUGCCGGAGAGGUAGGCGGAAUUCCUAGUGUAGCGGUGAAAUGCGUAGAUAUUAGGAGGAACACCAGUGGCGAAGGCGGCCUACUGGACGGUGACUGACGCUGAGGCUCGAAAGCGUGGGGAGCAAACAGGAUUAGAUACCCUUGUAGUC
rnacentral:rRNA from 1 species